AUGGGGGAGCCUGCUCCAAUUACUGCUCCGAUGUGGCAUCCUCUUGGAGUCAUUGUGGCCCUGCACCCCACCCCACCUCCCAGAUGCUUGGGGCUGGCCCUGGAGCAUCUGGAAAGCCCUUUGGUUCAGGAAGGGUGGCUCAGGAUGAGCGGCUCCUGCUCCUACCGAGGAGAUCUCUUUGGACUCCUACUGUACAACACCCCAACAAGUUUUCUCCACUCCAAGGGCUAGCCCAACUCCUAGCAUCGGAGGGAAUGCUGAGAUUCAAAGAAAGACCUUGUAUAAUCCAUCAUCUCCUGCUGAACCUGAACACAGGUCUCAGAGGAUUUCAUCUUUCAAGGAGCUAAGUUCAAAUCCAGGACCUUUGUGACUUUGAGCAAAUCCCUCAAUACUUUUGGACUUCAGUUUCCCUCUCUAUAAAAUGAGAAUGCUCAACCAGUUGGUCUCUAGUGUCCUUUCCUGAUUAAAAUCCUAUGAAUUGGGGCAGCUGGGUGGUUCAGGGGAUAGUGAGCUAGGCCUGGAGACAAGAUGAGAUCCUGCUUCAAAUCUGGUCUCAGACACUUCCUAGCUGUGUGACCCUGGACAAGU